UGGGGAGUAUUGCACAAUGGGCGCAAGCCUGAUGCAGCCAUGCCGCGUGUGUGAAGAAGGCCUUCGGGUUGUAAAGCACUUUCAGCGAGGAGGAAGGGUUCAGUGUUAAUAGCACUGUUCAUUGACGUUACUCGCAGAAGAAGCACCGGCUAACUCCGUGCCAGCAGCCGCGGUAAUACGGAGGGUGCAAGCGUUAAUCGGAAUUACUGGGCGUAAAGCGCACGCAGGCGGUUUGUUAAGUCAGAUGUGAAAUCCCCGCGCUUAACGUGGGAACUGCAUUUGAAACUGGCAAGCUAGAGUCUUGUAGAGGGGGGUA
rnacentral:rRNA from 1 species